UAUUGAACUAUUGGGGGGAAAAUAUGUAAUAAACAUUCAUUUCGUGUUCAAAAUUUGUGUGGAUUUUCAUUAGUUGCGGUUGGGCUGAGUACUUAUCCCCCAUGGAUAGCGACGGUCAACAAUACUGCGAUUGACUUUUGUCUUGUAAAAAGGCUGCGAUUCGCAGAGGAGAGGGGCCAAUCCUAGCAAGGAAUAGCGAAAAUCCGCAAUUCAGUGGAGCCAACAUGCCACAAAAAGGUGGCAAAGCGUUACUUUUCUUGCUUUUGCCUGAGCACACAGACAGCAAAUCAAGCUGGAUUAUUCCUGUUUGUUCCCACGAGGUAGCCGCUGAGAUCGGUUUCUCCGUGUAUCCUCCGUGUGAUGAGGACAG